AAGCCAUGGCGGAAAAUCCCCCAGCCCGCACGGGCAUAUUCGCAUGUCCAUGUAGGAAUGCCCCGUAAGCUAUUGCUCGUGCGCACGCGCGCAAGGCUGGUUAGGCGUACGCGCAAGGCGCACGACCCAUCCGCCUGGGAGUUGUACCACACGCCAUCUAUGAUGUGACAAGCGCAAGAUGCUUGUGCAUGUAAGGGCCUAGCCCUACGCACGUGUCAGUGCACCAUUCAUGCACACAGGCUAGCUACACGCGCACCAAGCCUAGCCUUUCUCACACGACAAAAUUGGAUUGUGUGCGGCCCAUUGGGCCCCGAGCUGCCACCUACUACCACCUAUCGCCACCUACCACCGCUUGCCGCUUCUUACCACCGACCUACUGCCGCCUACCAUCGGCCUAUCGUCGCUGCUACCACCACCAAUCUCUACCCUACCGCCAUCACUGCCUUGGGAGUCAUGCCUCCCUUGAACAAUUGCAUCGAUGAUGUCAUGAUGAUGUCAUUAUUU
rnacentral:lncRNA from 1 species